GCUAUCGGAUUGAUACUAAGCCAUGCGAGUCUUUGUAGUAAUACAAGGCAGACGGCUCAGUAACACGUAGUCAACCUACCCUAUGGACGAGAAUAAUCUCGGGAAACUGAGCAUAAUUCUUGAUAGAUCAUAAUGCCUGGAAUGGUUUAUGGUUAAAAUGAUUCGUCGCCAUAGGAUGGGACUGCGGCCUAUCAGCUUGUUGGUGAGGUAAUGGCCCACCAAGGCGAUCACAGGUACGGGCUCUGAGAGGAGAAGCCCGGAGAUGGGUACUGAGACACGGACCCAGGCCCUAUGGGGCGCAGCAGGCGAGAAAACUUUGCAAUGUGCGAAAGCACGACAAGGUUAAUCCGAGUGAUUUCUGCUAAAGAAAUCUUUUGUCAGUCGUAAAACCACUGGCGAAUAAGGGGUGGGCAAGUUCUGGUGUCAGCCGCCGCGGUAAAACCAGCACCUCAAGUGGUCAGGAUGAUUAUUGGGCCUAAAGCAUCCGUAGCCGGCUUUGUAAGUUUUCGGUUAAAUCCAUGUGCUCAACGCAUGGGCUGCCGAAAAUACUGCAUGGCUAGGGAGUGGGAGAGGUAGACGGUACUCAGUAGGAAGGGGUAAAAUCCUUUGAUCUAUUGAUGACCACCUGUGGCGAAGGCGGUCUACCAGAACACGUUCGACGGUGAGGGAUGAAAGCUGGGGGAGCAAACCGGAUUAGAUACCCGGGUAGUCCCAGCCGUAAACGAUGCAGACUCGAUGAUGCAUUGGCAUAAUAGCCAAUGCAGUGUCGCAGGGAAGCCGUUAAGUCUGCCGCCUGGGAAGUACGUACGCAAGUAUGAAACUUAAAGAAUUGGCGGGGAGCACCACAAGGGUGAAGCCUG
rnacentral:rRNA from 1 species